rnacentral:lncRNA from 1 species
UCGCAGCCAAAAUACCCUCACAGUCUCGGUCCCAACCCAACCCACAAAGGAUACGGUUUCCCACAGUGUAUAAAACCCAAAUCAGAUUUUCCCUCACUCACGACGAUUUCGAGUUGCUCACAACAGAGGAAUCGAAAACCAGAAGGAAGAAAGAAGGGUAGUAUCACUCGUAUCCCUCAUCUCUCAAUAUGCCAAGAUUAUAUAGGCUCAGAGACGAGAUAUCGAAGGCAAGAAUCAUU